rnacentral:rRNA from 1 species
CCUACUGGUGGCAGCAGUGGGGAAUAUUGCACAAUGGGGGAAACCCUGAUGCAGCAACGCCGCGUGGGUGAAGGAGGGUUUCGGCUUGUAAAGCUCUGUUAGCAGGGAAGAGGAAGGACGGUACCUGCAGAGGAAGCCACGGCUAACUACGUGCCAGCAGCCGCGGUAAUACGUAGGGGGCAACCGUUGUUCGGAAUACCUGGGAGUAAAGGGUGCGUAGGAGGGUAAACAAGUUAGAUGUUAAAUAUAUAGGCUUAACCCGGAGAAAGCAUAUAAAACUGUUUAACUAGAGUGCAGGAGAGGUAAGUGGAAUUCCUAGUGUAGCGGUGAAAUGCGUAGAGAUUAGGAAGAACACCAGUGGCGAAGGCGACUUACUGGACUGUAACUGACGUUGAGGCAUGAGAGCAUGGGGAGCAAACAGGAUUAGAUACCCGUGUAGUC